UGGGGAAUAUUGGGCAAUGGGGGAAACCCUGACCCAGCAACGCCGCGUGAAGGAAGAAGGUUUUCGGAUUGUAAACUUCUGUCCUUGGUGAAGAGAAGAAGACGGUAGCCAAGGAGGAAGCCCCGGCUAACUACGUGCCAGCAGCCGCGGUAAUACGUAGGGGGCAAGCGUUGUCCGGAAUGAUUGGGCGUAAAGGGCGCGUAGGCGGCUUUAUAAGUCUGGAGUGAAAGUCCUCUUUUCAAGGGAGGAAUUGCUUUGGAAACUAUAGAGCUUGAGUGCAGGAGAGGUUAUCGGAAUUCCCGGUGUAGCGGUGAAAUGCGUAGAUAUCGGGAGGAACAUCGGUGGCGAAGGCGGGUAACUGGACUGCAACUGACGCUGAGGCGCGAAAGUGUGGGGAGCAAACA
rnacentral:rRNA from 1 species